UCGAGAAUCUUCGGCAAUGGACGCAAGUCUGACCGAGCGAUGCCGCGUGCGGGAUGAAGGCCCUCGGGUUGUAAACCGCUGUCAGUUGGAAGGAAAUCCCUAGGGGCACUCUCCUAGGGUUGACCGAUCUUCAGAGGAAGGACGGGCUAAGUUCGUGCCAGCAGCCGCGGUAACACGAACCGUCCAAACGUUAUUCGGUAUCACUGGGCUUAAAGCGUGCGUAGGCGGCUUGGAAGGUGAGAGGUGAAAUCCCACGGCUCAACCGUGGAACUGCCUUUCAAACCAUCAGGCUUGAGGAAGACAGGGGUGAUCGGAACUUAUGGUGGAGCGGUGAAAUGCGUUGAUAUCAUAGGGAACACCGGUGGCGAAAGCGGAUCACUGGGUCUUUUCUGACGCUGAGGCACGAAAGCGAGGGUAGCGAACGGGAUUAGAUACCCCCGUAGUCC
rnacentral:rRNA from 1 species